rnacentral:lncRNA from 1 species
AAAUUCGAGAGACAAAAAAAAAUCUCAUCCCUGUAUAAAGGUCAACCAGUUUUAUCCCAAGGAAAUGAUUUUUAGAGAAACUUCAGAGGGAGGAAAAGGGACUUCAACAACUUCCCUCCGCGGAAAAUUAAAUUCCUUAUAAAACAUUUUAACUUGGGCAAAAAAAAAUUUCAGCGGAAAUUAGCGGGAAAAAUGGAAAAAUCUGAAAAAAAAAAGCGGAAAUCCGCGGAAGAAUCUCAUCCCUGUAAAAUAUACUUCUUUGGGUGGAUAAUUACCUAUGGACAAAUGAAUUUUUUUAUGGUGAGCAAAAAAUGUUCAAUUCGCUUAAAAAAUUCUCAAGAAAUGGUGAAAAAAUAGAUAAAUACAAAAAAUCGAACAUUUAGGGGUCCAUAUUUCCCACACUGCUGCUAUCCCCUUCAUUUUUGAGAUCAGUCGGGGGAAAAGAUAUGUUUAGUCAGAAAAAGUACGUUUUUGAGUCAGCGUAUUUGAGGUCACUCCAUCGAACCAUUCAUUAAGAUUGAAUUUUAGAACGUGAAGAUCCGAUCAUUAGAUGAAGAGUUAUCCAGGGUGGUCCGUUAACUUUUGUUUUGCACACUGUAUAGAUUUAAAUGACGUUUUAAAAGUAUUUUGUAUUCAAUAUAUCAGAGUUUUGUUAAUUAUUUUAAAAAAUGAAAAAUUGCUGUUUGUUGUAACACAAUUUGUAGAUUCACUGGCCCAUAAAUGAAUGCACUCAUUGUUAAUAUGCAUAUUCACCCAUCUUUAAGUCCUUGUUGAGAGAAGAGGUUAAACGCCGUCUUUACGAAAGGAUCUUACUUUUUAUGAAGUCUAAGCUAAGAAUAAACGACAUUGCAUUUUAAAAUAAAUAUAUUCUAUUAAGUAAGCAUUUUAUUUUUCUUUACAAAUAUUUAUGGAUUAUCAUACAAACACCAAGAGUAGUUUAUCACCAACUUAAAAGGGGCAACUAUUUUUUCAACAUUCCAAUGAAAAUUUUAGGUACUUGAACGAGGUCUUCAUAACUGUUUAGUUUGACAUUCAUACCUUUUAAUUUGUUGUACCUUUAUGUUUAUUUAAUUUAAUUAACUUCCAUGGUCUUGAAAAUUUUAGCAUUGCAAUUGGUUAGCAUCUCAAUUUUUUUUUAAAAAAAUUAUGCAUAGUUUACCCUGCCUGUCAUAUUAAGACAGCCCUGAAAAGUAGCUUUUUUCUGCUGCACUUUCCAUCUGUAUUAAAACUUUUUUUGCGAAGAACUUCAAUUAUAAAGAUAAUUAACUUAAGAAUAUAUAAUUAAAAACCUAUAAAUAUAUUUUUCAAGCAAAUUUUUAAAAGAGAAAAAUUAAUAGUUUAGAAAAUCUGUGGGCGAUCGCCUGACAUCAUUGGAGGCAAAGUAAAAUCAUGGUAAUCGCAAAUGAGAUUUCAGCAAAAUUGAAUCUUCACUAGAGCCCCAAAAAAUGGCAUUCAUUCACCAGCUCCAACCUCUUCAUCUCAGUCAUUCAAACAUUGAAGCUAGUUAACAUAUUUAAAAACUGCUGUUUUCCCAGCAAAAUGUCUCAAACUCCAAAAAAGAGAGAAAUUGUUGCACAUGAAAAUUGCGAAAUAAUUAUUUUUGUGGUACGAUCGCCAAACUUGUUCUUCACACACCAAAAAUAGCGAAACAGUAUUUUUUUGGAUACCACGUGAUGAAGGCGGAGCAAACUCUUGAUGAACAAACUAUACCUGAGAAUCUUUAUAAGUUUGUUUUCCGAAUUCUAUUCCUCCCGCAGCCCCCUAUUGCUGACCGAAGUCUUGGUUUCACAUGUAACAUAAUUUUUUUUUUUAAAGUGGCACAGUAUAGAAAAAAAAACAUUAAAUGAGAGAUAAAAAAUUUACAGGAUACCACUACUCAAUUUGUUGCUGCUUCGCGAGAAGCCGGGUAUUGAGAACACUAGACUUUGAGUGCUGAUCAUCGAGUUAACGAUCGUGGUCGCUCCCGUGUUGCCAUCAGCAGUCCAUUGUAUGUAGGCCAGCAUCGUGUGCGAUUGAGACUGAGUAGCAACGGAGCACAGACAAUGUCGAAGUCACAAGCAGCGAGUCAACAUGGACCAUCCCUCAAAGUGAGCGUGUUCACAUCAGGUUCCAAUGUCAACCUUGACACAGAAUAGAGUCAACAUGCCUUAUAUACUAGUGAAUUUGAGUUGAAUAAUUGUAGUGGUUACAUAUUUGAACGUAUAAACCCAAUUUCAGUGCGAGGUACAGAAAUCAAAUAUUCUGAAAUGUUUCAUUGCAUUUCCUUCAUAGGUAGGAAAAAUAAUUUCUUUAUCAAAACUUUUGAUUGUUUUUCCGGGCAAGUAUCUGUGAGAAAGAAAUAUAUAUACUAUUUAUGAACAACAUAAAUAAAUAAUGCACUUUAGUCUCUACU